AUGAACGCUGGCGGCGUGCCUCAUCCCUGCCAGUCGAGCGAACAGAUGAGGAGCUUGCUCCUCUGACGUUAGCGGCGGACGGGUGAGUAACACGUGGAUAACCUACCUAUAAGACUGGGAUAACUUCGGGAAACCGGAGCUAAUACCGGAUAAUAUAUUGAACCGCAUGGUUCAAUAGUGAAAGACGAUUUUGCUGUCACUUAUAGAUGGAUCCGCGCCGCAUUAGCUAGUUGGUAAGGUAACGGCUUACCAAGGCAACGAUGCGUAGCCGACCUGAGAGGGUGAUCGGCCACACUGGAACUGAGACACGGUCCAGACUCCUACGGGAGGCAGCAGUAGGGAAUCUUCCGCAAUGGGCGAAAGCCUGACGGAGCAACGCCGCGUGAGUGAUGAAGGUCUUCGGAUCGUAAAACUCUGUUAUUAGGGAAGAACAAAUGUGUAAGUAACUAUGCACGUCUUGACGGUACCUAAUCAGAAAGCCACGGCUAACUACGUG
rnacentral:rRNA from 1 species